GUGGCGGACGGGUGAGUAACGCGUGGGUAACCUGCCCUGUACAGGGGGAUAACAGCUGGAAACGGCUGCUAAUACCGCAUAAGCGCACGAGGAGACAUCUCCUAGUGUGAAAAACUCCGGUGGUACAGGAUGGGCCCGCGUCUGAUUAGCUGGUUGGCAGGGUAACGGCCUACCAAGGCAACGAUCAGUAGCCAGUCUGAGAGGAUGAACGGCCACAUUGGAACUGAGACACGGUCCAAACUCCUACGGGAGGCAGCAGUGGGGAAUAUUGCACAAUGGGGGAAACCCUGAUGCAGCAACGCCGCGUGAGUGAAGAAGUAUUUCGGUAUGUAAAGCUCUAUCAGCAGGGAAGAUAAUGACGGUACCUGACUAAGAAGCUCCGGCUAAAUACGUGCCAGCAGCCGCGGUAAUACGUAUGGAGCAAGCGUUAUCCGGAUUUACUGGGUGUAAAGGGUGCGUAGGUGGCAGUGCAAGUCAGAUGUGAAAGGCCGGGGCUCAACCCCGGAGCUGCAUUUGAAACUGCUCGGCUAGAGUACAGGAGAGGCAGGCGGAAUUCCUAGUGUAGCGGUGAAAUGCGUAGAUAUUAGGAGGAACACCAGUGGCGAAGGCGGCCUGCUGGACUGUUACUGACACUGAGGCACGAAAGCGUGGGGAGCAAACAGG
rnacentral:rRNA from 1 species